rnacentral:rRNA from 1 species
GAUGAACGCUAGCGGCAGGCUUAAUACAUGCAAGUCGAGGGGCAGCAUAAGUAGCAAUACUUGAUGGCGACCGGCAAACGGGUGCGGAACACGUACGCAACCUUCCUUUAAGUGGGGAAUAGCCCGGGGAAACCCGGAUUAAUACCCCGUAAUAUUAUGAUGUGGCAUCACAUUAUAAUUAUAGAUUCAUCGCUUAAAGAUGGGCGUGCGCCUGAUUAGGUAGUUGGCGGAGAAUAGCCCACCAAGCCUGCGAUCAGUAACU